AUUGAACGCUGGCGGCAUGCUUUACACAUGCAAGUCGAACGGUAACAGGUCUUCGGAUGCUGACGAGUGGCGAACGGGUGAGUAAUGCAUCGGAACGUGCCCAGUCGUGGGGGAUAACGCAGCGAAAGCUGCGCUAAUACCGCAUACGAUCUAUGGAUGAAAGCGGGGGACCGUAAGGCCUCGCGCGAUUGGAGCGGCCGAUGUCAGAUUAGGUAGUUGGUGGGGUAAAGGCCCACCAAGCCAACGAUCUGUAGCUGGUCUGAGAGGACGACCAGCCACACUGGGACUGGGACACGGCCCAGACUCCUACGGGAGGCAGCAGUGGGGAAUUUUGGACAAUGGGCGCAAGCCUGAUCCAGCAAUGCCGCGUGCAGGAAGAAGGCCUUCGGGUUGUAAACUGCUUUUGUACGGAACGAAACGGCUCUCUCUAAUACAGAGGGCUAAUGACGGUACCGUAAGAAUAAGCACCGGCUAACUACGUGCCAGCAGCCGCCGUAAUAC
rnacentral:rRNA from 1 species